rnacentral:rRNA from 1 species
GACGGAGGAUGCAAGCGUUAUCCGGAAUGAUUGGGCGUAAAGCGUCCGCAGGUGGCAGUUCAAGUCUGCUGUCAAAGACCGGGGCUUAACUUCGGAAAGGCAGUGGAAACUGAACAGCUAGAGUAUGGUAGGGGCAGAGGGAAUUCCUGGUGUAGCGGUGAAAUGCGUAGAGAUCAGGAAGAACAUCGGUGGCGAAGGCGCUCUGCUGGACCAUAAAUGACACUCAGGGACGAAAGCUAGGGGAGCGAAUGGG